GCGGUAUGCAUUGCUCAGGUGUCGUCUUGUGUCUGUGUUGGUUGGUCAUGACAUAUUUUUGUUGAAUGUUGAACAUUCCCUUGUAUGUAUGUGUGUGAGGAAAGGGUGUUACCAUAGGCCUUAGUUUGUAACUCAUGGCAUUUCAUUUAUAUAUUUUAGCUGCAAUUUAUUAUGAAUAAUUAUUUACCUGUUCAAUCGUAUGUUGUGGUUGCAUUUCACCUGUAUUCUUCUCAUAUGAAGAGGCUCUAAUAUAGUGGAAUGAGCUCCCCCAGUCCUACAAAUGAAGCUGGAAACUCAGCAAGUCCGGCUAAGAAGUGGGUCCAAUUCGAAGAAGAUGAAAAACUCAAAGCACAAUCGGAAUCUAAAGGUUCAUCAUCUAAAGCAGCUGCUGAAAGUGAAAGAAACGGCUCUGGUAGCCUGAAAACGCUGGAUGCGCCGAUCCGCGCCAACCUGCAGAGCCAUGCAGGCGGAGGCGGCGACUACAGUGGGGCCAUCAUAUCGACUGAGUCGGUGCACGUGACGCUGGACAGGGGCGGCGGCCUCAACCGCUCGCUCUCCUCCACCGACGGUCCCCCCACAGAGGCCGCUGUCGGCGUCAACAACCUGAGAACUGUCGACCUCCACGAUGCACCUAACGGUCGCUCUGCCCCCAGUUCGAACGCCGCUCUCAGGCAGGGAUUUGCCAAUGGUGAUAUAAUUGUCACACUUUUACCUGUGAACUCGAAAUUUCCAUGGAUAACACCAGCAAAAUUUCGACCAGAGCUGGUACCAGAAGAGCUGAUGGCUCAAGAAUUGUCGUUGACUGUAGAAGAUUAUGUCCAUAUAAUGGAAAUCCUAACCAAUGACGUGAGAUUCACCAUUUACAACGUUUGCUACAAGAGAGUGCUGGUCCUGUGGAUCUUCACCGCAUUUAUAGUUCUGCUCAGUUUACUGUUCUCGGGUCUCACAGGACUCACUUUGUUCGGCUUCGGAAUACUCUGGCUGGUCAUGAAUGCUUCAGCCAUAUUCUUUUGUAUGUGGAUGAAGUACAAGAUGAACUAUCAUUUAGAACGUUGCAUGGCGAACGUUAAUAAGCACCUUCUACGCCAUAGAAUAAUCCUCGGUCUGGAUGACAGAGGGAAAAUGUCGUGUCAUAAAGUCAAUCUUUGCUUUAUAUUUUUUGAUACCACUGAUUGCAUUAAAAAACUUCAAGAAGUAAUAGAUAGAGAAGAGGCUGAAGGUAGAACAGUGAAUCGGGAUGAGGAACGUUCUCGUAAAGAAUUUGCUCAAAGAAUGGAUAUAGAAGAUGGUGAUAUCAUUAUCCAGGGAACCAACCCUCAGCGCCGUUCACGAAAACAGGAGCGAGCUGCGCUGCUGCUGCUGCGCUACUCGUCGCGUUGGGCCAAGCUGUUCGUGCGACAGCGACUCGACCUGAGCGUCGACGGCGACAGUCGCGCGACAAUGGCCGCCGCCGCGUCAGCCGCUCCCCGCCACUGCGUCUCGGCGCGCUGUCCCUGUCAGUUCAUCGAGGAGCACCUCAAGUACAAGCCUCGAGCAAUCGUGCGCAAGCCUUUCUUCUCAGUGGAACAGACAUGAGAUGAUAUUCCCAAGAUGAUUUCAUGUCUCAGAAAUUCAGAUGUUACAUGAACAUAUAUUGAUGAUAUAUGAUGGUAUUGGACUUGUCUCAUGAAAUAAUCAUGAUCCAUGCAUGGGAAUGGCGUCACUAUUCAUGGAUGAAAGAUUGCAGUAUCUGAUAGUGUGAAGAGUACUUAUAUUAAUCUAAUUAUCUAAUUGCACCAUCGUGAUAAGACUCACUGUAUUCAUUUGUACAUUUUUGUAACUCAAUUAUUAUUGUGGCAAGACUACCUCAUAUGCGUAUUCGAGGCCUUUCCAUUAAUACAUUUUUUACAUUUGUAAUGUAUGCACUGUUUAUAAUCUUACAAACUGUUUUAGAGCUUGAAUGAGUAGGAAAAAUCAGCAUAGUAUGCGUUUCAUAUUAUAUUAUGGAGCUUUAAAGAUCAGCCACAGCAAAAACUUUAAUAUGAUGAAGCGUUAGAAUACAAUCUUUGAUAAAAGAUGAAUUAUUGCUUUAACUAAAAUAGCAAUUUAUUUUCAUCAAUACCACCAACGUAUUUUGUCUUGAAUUGAGGAAAUUGUUUAUUCUGUUAGACGGAGUGAUUUUUAAAACGUUGCAAUUUGUUUUGUCGAAAAACAAUAAUAGUACCUAUUAGUAAUGAAAGAAACUCCAGGGAUGAAAAAGGGUGCAAUAGGCAUGAAAGGAAAAUUGUAAACUUAUUCAUUUUCACUAAAGUGAUCAUUUUUCAUAUCUCUCUUAAUUGUUGAAUAAUUAUUGCAUUUAAAAGUUAUGAACUUUGUACCGCUACUCAAUGUCAAAAAUAUAUAUUAAUGAUCAGCUUAGAAAGCUUAGUUCCAUACUGUACUGAUUUGCCUGAGAAUGCAUGUCGAAUAAUUUUUAAUCUGAUUUUUAAAAACUAAAUUUUUAAAUGCGAUUUUAAAUCAAUAGAUAUUUUGUUGAUAAUAAUUUUUCACAUUCAAUAUUAUAUACAGUACUUGAAAACUAUAUUUUAAUGUUGAGAUACAGUUUAUUUAUACAUAUCUUCAAGGUUUUUAUUAUAAGUUAGUUUAUUAUCUGUUUGCUUAAUAUAUCUAGCUAAUAGAUAUGGUUGAGAGAUAAUAUUAAUUAUUGUUAUUUUGAUAACAUUUUUAUUGCAUGUUAAUUAAUUUUUAUAGAAUAUAAGUGUUGUGCUUGAUCUUACUGUCGUAUUUUUAAUGUAUUGUAAAUUGCAGCAAUAUAAUAAUAUUAAUCGUACUGUUUAUUCCAAUGUCUAACAUAUCAAUUUAUCGGAAAAAACUCUAAAUUGAUUAAUUUGUGAUUUUCAUAGUAUUUAAGGUGCUGUUUAUUCCGUCCUUUAAUCUUAAUUACUAUUAUGAGUAUUUUAAUUGAUUAAGCAUAAAACAUCAGUUUUCAACUUCAUAAAAUUAUUUUAUUUCUUUCCGUAUCGAGAUAUUUUCUGGUGUCAUAAUUCUGAAAAUUUUAUGAGAAGUGUGUUUUGGAUUGAUCACUCCUUUUAUUCUUGAAAAAAUAAUUUGUGGAGAGAGUAAUAGUGAUAUUUGAAUCUCAUAAUUUUAAGACUACAUUAUUGAUUUAAAAGACAUUUUGUGAAUUCCUAUAGAUAAUUUACGGUACUGCUGGAAUCAGGUGAAUAGUUCCAAUGAAAUAAUCAAUGGUUGUUGACUAUGUAACUGAGACUUAAUUUUAUAUAUCGCGCACAUAAAUGUUUGGAGUAUUGUUACCAAACAAUAAAGCAAUGCACCAGUCUGUCAUGGAAGAAUUGCUUAACGCACCAAUUGCUUAAUCAGUGUAAAAAAAGGUGUCUUAAAAGUUGUUCAUAUUUUCUCUUCACCAAUAUUAGAUUAAAUAAACAUAGAUAUAGAACUGCAUUUUUGUAGUUAUUGAUUUUUGGAAGUAUUUUGCACCAUGUAAUACGAAAUUAGUGUUCCAUAAAUACUGUAAUAUGUGCCUUUGUAAAGAGAUAAAAUAGAAAAAUAAUGAUUCUCAUUUCAAUUGUUAAUGUCAAUUUUUUUAAAUAGGUGCCAUGUGUUGUUGACUGUUUGUAUGAAACUCGAAUAUCUUGAUUUGGGUGAAUUAAAAUCAUGAAAACUC
rnacentral:misc_RNA from 1 species